rnacentral:rRNA from 1 species
UACGUAGGGGGCAAGCGUUGUCCGGAUUUACUGGGCGUAAAGAGCGUGUAGGCGGCCAAGCAGGUCCGUUGUGAAAACUGGAGGCUUAACCUCCAGACGUCGACGGAAACCGCGUGGCUAGAGUCCGGAAGAGGAGAGUGGAAUCCUGGUGUAGCGGUGAAAUGCGCAGAUAUCAGGAAGAACACCAAUGGCGAAGGCAGCUCUCUGGGACGGUACUGACGCUGAGACGCGAAAGCGUGGGGAGCGAACAGG